rnacentral:rRNA from 1 species
GUGCAGCAGGCGCGAAAACUUCACACUGUGCGAAAGCACGAUGAGGGAAUCCCAAGUGCUUGCACGUAAGUGUAAGCUGUUUCUCUGUUUAAAACGCAGAGAGAGUAAGGGCUGGGUAAGACGGGUGCCAGCCGCCGCGGUAAUACCUGCAGCUCAAGUGGUGACCGCUAUUAUUGGGCCUAAAACGUCCGUAGCCGGUUUAAUAAAUGCCUGGGUAAAAUCGUGUAGCUUAACUAUACGAAUUCCGGGUAGACUGUUAAACUCGAGACCGGGAGAAGUUAGAGGUACUCCUGGGGUUAGAGGUGAAAAUUCUGUAAUCCUAAGGGGACCACCAGUGGCGAAGGCGUCUAACUAGAACGGGUCUGACGGUGAGGGACGAGGCCCUGGGGCGCGAUACGGGGAUUAGAUACCCCCGUA